rnacentral:rRNA from 1 species
AGUCGAGCGAGUCUGCCUUGAAGAUCGGAGUGCUUGCACUCUGUGAAACAAGAUACAGGCUAGCGGCGGACGGGUGAGUAACACGUGGGUAACCUGCCCAAGAGAUCGGGAUAACACCUGAAAACAGAUGCUAAUACCGGAUAACAACAGAUGAUGCCUAUCAACUGUUUAAAAGAUGGUUCUGCUAUCACUCUUGGAUGGACCUGCGGUGCAUUAGCUAGUUGGUAGGGUAACGGCCUACCAAGGCGAUGAUGCAUAGCCGAGUUGAGAGACUGAUCGGCCACAUUGGGACUGAGACACGGCCCAAACUCCUACGGGAGGCAGCAGUAGGGAAUCUUCCACAAUGGACGCAAGUCUGAUGGAGCAACGCCGCGUGAGUGAAGAAGGGUUUCGGCUCGUAAAGCUCUGUUGUUGGUGAAGAAGGACAGGGGUAGUAACUGACCUUUGUUUGACGGUAAUCAAUUAGAAAGUCACGGCUAACUACGUGCCAGCAGCCGCGGUAAUACGUAGGUGGCAAGCGUUGUCCGGAUUUAUUGGGCGUAAAGCGAGUGCAGGCGGCUCGAUAAGUCUGAUGUGAAAGCCUUCGGCUCAACCGGAGAAUUGCAUCAGAAACUGUCGAGCUUGAGUACAGAAGAGGAGAGUGGAACUCCAUGUGUAGCGGUGAAAUGCGUAGAUAUAUGGAAGAACACCGGUG